UACGUAGGUGGCAAGCGUUGUCCGGAUUUACUGGGCGUAAAGAGCGCGCAGGCGGUCGUUCAAGUCGCGUGUGAAAGCCCCCGGCUCAACUGGGGAGGGUCACGCGAUACUGAUCGACUCGAAGGCAGGAGAGGGUAGUGGAAUUCCCGGCGUAGUGGUGAAAUGCGUAGAUAUCGGGAGGAACACCAGUGGCGAAGGCGACUACCUGGCCUGUCCUUGACGCUGAGGCGCGAAAGCUAGGGGAGCAAACAGG
rnacentral:rRNA from 1 species